rnacentral:rRNA from 1 species
AUUGAACGAUGGCGGCAUGCCUUACACAUGCAAGUCGAACGGCAUCGCGGGAAAGCUUGCUUUCCUGGCGGCGAGUGGCGAACGGGUGAGUAACACAUCGGAACGUACCGGCUAGUGGGGGAUAACCCGUCGAAAGACGGGCUAAUACCGCAUACGCUCUUCGGAGGAAAGCAGGGGACCUUUGGGCCUUGCGCUAGCCGAGCGGCCGAUGUCCGAUUAGCUAGUUGGUGGGGUAAAGGCCUACCAAGGCGACGAUCGGUAGCGGGUCUGAGAGGACGAUCCGCCACACUGGGACUGAGACACGGCCCAGACUCCUACGGGAGGCAGCAGUGGGGAAUCUUGGACAAUGGGGGCAACCCUGAUCCAGCAAUGCCGCGUGGGUGAAGAAGGCCUUCGGGUUGUAAAGCCCUUUCGGCAGGGAAGAAAUCGGCGGGGCGAAUAACCCUGCUGGAUGACGGUACCUGCAGAAGAAGCACCGGCUAACUACGUG